AUGUACUAUAACGUCUUCAUUUUUAGAAACCGGCACCCCCAAAGGCAGAGCCUAAGCCAAAGAAGGCAGCUGCCAAACCUAAGAAAACAAAGGAACCCAAGGAGCCCAAGGAGGAGGAGAAGAAAGAGGAAGUGCCCGCAGAAAACGGAGAAACAAAAGCUGAUGAAGAGGGAUCGGCAACGGAAGACGCUGACAAGAAGGGAGAAGACGGGGAAUAACUUUGCUGAGGUCUCAUCUUUUACCAGCACUCCCUGUACCUCUUUUCUUGUACAAUUCAGGGGAAUAUUUUUAUCUACUAUUUUCUAAAGGCUGGUUUUUUAGUAGUUUUGUUUUAUUUUUUAUGGAAGAAAAGAAACAUUUUGAAAGUGAUCUCAUCAUAUCCAGGAUUUUUACAUUGGGCAGAAAAAACUACCGUCAUCAUAAAUGUCGACAGGCGUUUUUUUCCCCCUCUCUGCUCUCGCUUUCAAAGUGUGAGGUAGAGGGGAAGGUUGUGGGCAUGUCGUUUACACAGACAGCUGGACAUCUUACCGAGCUUGUCCGAAUGACUAACAUUCCAUUGGCUCUAUGAGGGAUUUUUAUUUUUUAUUUUUUUUGUGUGUGUGUAACCUGUAAUGUGUGUUUGGGGUGGGAGGGGUGGGCAAAUAACUCAUUGUUUAUUGUUUAUAAUGCGAAAGAUUACUUGUAGAACGUUUGUAAGUUGUGUUCCAUAUGUUAACUGCAGUUCUCCAUAAUCAUUUCUGCUAAAUAAACAGUUUCUCUAGUACUGGAGUUCA
ensembl:lncRNA